CGGAGGGUGCAAGCGUUAUCCGGAUUCACUGGGUUUAAAGGGUGCGUAGGUGGGUUGGUAAGUCCGUGGUGAAAUCUCCGAGCUUAACUCGGAAACUGCCGUGGAUACUAUCAAUCUUGAAUAUCGUGGAGGUAAGCGGAAUAUGUCAUGUAGCGGUGAAAUGCUUAGAUAUGACAUAGAACACCGAUAGCGAAGGCAGCUUGCUACACGAUUAUUGACACUGAGGCACGAAAGCGUGGGGAGCAAACAGGAUUAGAUACCCUGGUAGUCCACGCCCUAAACGAUGAUUACUCGACAUACGCGAUACACAGUGUGUGUCUGAGCGAAAGCAUUAAGUAAUCCACCUGGGAAGUACGACCGCAAGGUUG
rnacentral:rRNA from 1 species